rnacentral:lncRNA from 1 species
UUUUGAAUCAAGUUUGUAGACAGAUUAGCAUACCAUGCGAAUAUGGUUUGUGUUAGAAACAGACUUAUACUACAACAGAAUUAGGUUAUAGGGACACAUGUUUGGAACACUUUUGUGUAAGUGUCACAUUUAUACCUAAAUUAUAAAAAAAAUCUACUAACAUCUAAAUAUAAAGCCUAAUCUAACCAAAAAUAAAAGGUUACUCUACUCAACCCACCCCACCCAGCACAUUCGACCCAAUUACAAAUAAAAAAGAAAAAAAUUUAGAAAAAUCGAUUACCAUCUCCUCUUCUCCUCUCACUCAAUCCACUAAAAUUUUAGACGAAGAGCCCUUCCCUCUCGUCCUCCUCCGCCACCGCAGCCAACGAGAUAGAGUUCCGGCGGUUGCUAAAUGCUUAAAUAAGUGUUGGUAAAUUAGCAGCACUCUUUUUAAGUUAUAGCGACACUCAUUAACUGUCACUAUAUACCUAGUGACCCUACAUAUAGCAACACUUUUCAAAAGUGUUGGUAAUUUAGCCAGCAGCACUUUUUUUUACUUAUAUCGACAUUUAAAAGUAUCGCUAUAAACCGUUUUUAUUGUAGUAUAAACAACUACAACUUUAAGGCCGGAUGGGCUGCGACUUU